UACGGAGGGUGCAAGCAUUAAUCGGAUUUAUUGGGCGUAAAGGGCGCGUAGGCGGAGAUGUAAGUCAGAUGUGAAAUCCUGGGGCUCAACCUCAGAACUGCAUUUGAAACUACAUCCCUUUGAGGAUAGGAGGAGAAAACGGAAUUCCACAAGUAGCGGUGAAAUGCGUAGAUAUGUGGAAGAACACCGGUGGCGAAGGCGGUUUUCUAUCUUAUUCCUGACGCUGAGGCGCGAAAGCAAGGGGAUCAAACAGG
rnacentral:rRNA from 1 species